UAUGAUGACCAGCAGAAGAAGGCAGGUGAGAAGCCUCCACAGCCAUGGACAAAGAGUUAAGAGGACAGUGAAGAUUAUAUUUGAAAGCUUUUUCUACCAUAGAAUAUUCUAGAAUACAUUAUAAAAAGACAUUAUAAAUGGAACCAGCUCCAAACAUACAGGUCAUGUGUGUAUUUUACCUUCUCUUCAUAUAAGUAAAGUGCAAAUAAAAUACCAUGCAAACGCUGCCAGUGACACCCUUGGGUGCAAGGGAGUAAGGAUGGAAGAUGGACAAGAUGAAUUCAAGGGUCUCCCAAGGAAAGUGGAGGGCCGAUAAACAAAGCUGUGGGGGGAUAACCGGCAGACGGCUCACUGGACCUAACAGACGCCAUGCUCCACCCUGAGCGUGAGGAAGAGUGCAGGCAUGGAAAGUUGGAGCUGAGAAAGGGAAAGACCGCGUGGAGGAAAUGGGAGGAAACUGAAGCAAAGGAGACUUCUUCGAUAGUCUGAGAGUGCAGGGAGAGUCUCAGCCAGGAUUCUGUUGUCCUUUGUAUAAAGACAUCUUUCUCGCACCCCUAUCUAUUUGUGUUGUGAUCCACUGAAUUUAAAUACGACACUCUGUGGGGCCCCGGGUUUGGAGCCAUCCCCUGUAGCCCGGUGGGCGUGGCAUUGGGUGCAGAACUGAAGACGGUGAUUUCCUCCUCGCAUCAUCUAUCAAUGGCCAGUAGGUCAGAGGAAGAGAUAGUGCACCAUGAGCCCUUCCUCCAUUGGGACCUGUUGACAAGCCAGUCUGCUGCAGCAGAUGACGACACUGCGCCCACACAAGAAAUCAAGGAACAGGAACAAACCGAAGGAUCAUAUCACCAGUAAGGUGUUGGCUGAAACCAACAAGAAAAGUCCUGGAGAGGAAGUGCCGCACUGUCGAUGUGGGCAGGCGGAGGAGAAACGGAACCAUCCAGAGGUCAGCUAUUUUUAGAAAGAGUCUUUUUUAUUCUAAAAAUAUGACCAGCUAUUGGUAGCACAAUGGUUUCUCCUUCAGUGAAGUGAAAUGAUGAGGAGGAGGCUGGUGACAUCAGUCAUUCUGUUCAUGUGGACGUUCAGAGAGUAAAGGGGGAGAACUGAGCAACUUUUUUUUCCUUAGGUGUAAUAAAAAAAUCCAAGCCAUAUCAAUUGUGGUGAAAAACACGUGAGGUGUAUUGCUCAUUUUUCUCAUCACUGUAAUAAAAUACCCAAAGAAGCCCACUGAGGCAGAAAACUCACA